rnacentral:rRNA from 1 species
ACUGCUCAGUAACACGUGGAUAACCUGCCCUGAGGAGGGGGAUAACCCCGGGAAACUGGGGAUAAUACCCCAUAGGCUACCGAGGCUGGAAUGCGCGGUAACCGAAAGCUCCGGCGCCUCAGGAUGGGUCUGCGGCCGAUUAGGUUGUUGUUGGGGUAACGGCCCAACAAGCCGGUAAUCGGUACGGGUUGUGGGAGCAAGAGCCCGGAGAUGGAUUCUGAGACAUGAAUCCAGGCCCUACGGGGCGCAGCAGGCGCGAAAACUUUACAAUGCGGGCAACCGUGAUAAGGGAACCCCGAGUGCCUGUAACCACAGGCUGUUCAGGUGUUUAAAACGCAUCUGGAGAAAGGGCCGGGCAAGACCGGUGCCAGCCGCCGCGGUAAUACCGGCGGCUCGAGUGGUGGCCACUAUUACUGGGCUUAAAGCGUCCGUAGCCGGGCUGUUAAGUCUCUUGGGAAAUCCAGCGGCUCAACCGUUGGGCGUUCAAGGGAAACUGGCAGUCUAGGGACCGGGGGAGGUGAGAGGUACUCUAGGGGUAGGAGUGAAAUCCUGUAAUCCUUGGGGGACCACCUGUGGCGAAGGCGUCUCACCAGAACGGCUCCGACGGUGAGGGACGAAAGCUGGGGGAGCAAACCGGAUUAGAUACCCGGGUAGUCCCAGCUGUAAACGAUGCGCGUUAGGUGUAUCGGUGACUACGAGUUACCGAGGUGCCGAAGAGAAAUCGUGAAACGUGCCGCCUGGGAAGUACGGUCGCAAGGCUGAAACUUAAAGGAAUUGGCGGGGGAGCAC